rnacentral:misc_RNA from 1 species
AAAAAUAAAGUUCUGGCGGUAAAAAGCAUGGCACUCUAAUUCCAUCUCACAGAGUUGAUGCAACCGACCUAAACUCUCAUUAGCGGAUGCUUAAAACAUCAAAAUAUAUUUGUCAAAUAACCUCCACAUUCAUAAAAAUUAAAUAAAUCCACUCUGGUUGCAGACACAAUUCAGCAUUAUAAUGUAAGUGCUUAUUCAGACAAAAACCAUUACCAGGCAAAGAAACUAACCAUUCUCUCGUUUCUACCAAAAUCAAAUACGUUACAGCCAUGAAUUUACAAGAAAAAAAACAAUGACCGCACCCAUUACCAAAUUUGAAUUGCAAAUAUUGGAAAUCCAUCUUCACGUAUUGCAAAAGCAAAAAAUUUCGUGCAGAUAAAUGAUAAUAUCAUGAAUUUGCAUGAAACCGAUCAAACAAUUACGCAUACCCGUCUCUUUCCGGCUUCAAGAUG